UAACCUCGGGAAAUCGUGGCUAAUACCGGAUACGAGCACUCAUCGCAUGGUGGGUGCUGGAAAGAUUUAUCGGUGGGGGAUGGACUCGCGGCCUAUCAGUUUGUUGGUGAGGUGAUGGCUCACCAAGACGAUGACGGGUAGCCGGCCUGAGAGGGCGACCGGCCACACUGGGACUGAGACACGGCCCAGACUCCUACGGGAGGCAGCAGUGGGGAAUAUUGCACAAUGGGCGAAAGCCUGAUGCAGCGACGCCGCGUGGGGGAUGACGGCCUUCGGGUUGUAAACCCCUUUCAGUAGGGAAGAAGCGAGAGUGACGGUACCUGCAGAAGAAGCGCCGGCUAACUACGUGCCAGCAGCCGCGGUAAUACGUAGGGCGCAAGCGUUGUCCGGAAUUAUUGGGCGUAAAGAGCUUGUAGGUGGCUUGUCGCGUCUGCCGUGAAAACCCGAGGCUCAACCUCGGGCGUGCGGUGGGUACGGGCAGGCUAGAGUGUGGUAGGGGGAGACUGGAACUCCUGGUGUAGCGGUGAAAUGCGCAGAUAUCAAGAAGAAC
rnacentral:rRNA from 1 species